UACGAAGGGGGGCUAGCGUUGCUCGGAAUACUGGGCGUAAAGCGUGCGCAGGCGGUGAUGUAAGACAGAUGUGAAAUCCCCGGGCUCAACCUGGGAACUGCAUUUGUGACUGCAUCGCUGGAGUGCGGCAGAGGGGGGAUGGAAUUCCGCGUGUAGCAGUGAAAUGCGUAGAUAUGCGGAGGAACACCGAUGGCGAAGGCAAUCCCCUGGGCCUGCACUGACGCUCAUGCACGAAAGCGUGGGGAGCAAACAGG
rnacentral:rRNA from 1 species